CCUACGGGUGGCAGCAGUGGGGGAUAUUGCACAAUGGGGGAAACCCUGAUGCAGCAACGCCGCGUGAGUGAUGAAGGGCUUCGGGGUGUAAAGCUCUAUCUUCAGGGACGAAGAUGACGGUACCUGAGGAGGAAGCCACGGCUAACUACGUGCCAGCAGCCGCGGUAAUACGUAGGGGGCGAGCGUUGUCCGGAUUUACUGGGCGUAAAGGGGGCGUAGGCGGCAGUUUAAGUGAGAUGUGAAAUACCCGGGCCCAACUUCGGGGCUGCAUUUGAAACUGGAUGUCUAGAGUGCAGGAGAGGAGAAUGGAAUUCCUAGUGUAGCGGUGAAAUGCGUAGAGAUUAGGAAGAACACCAGUGGCGAAGGCGAUUCUCUGGACUGUAACUGACGCUGAGGCUCGAAAGCGUGGGGAGCAAACAGGAUUAGAUACCCCUGUAGUC
rnacentral:rRNA from 1 species